UGGGAAGAGUAAUAGAGAGAAUACUGACAUUAGGAGGUCUAGGUGUAGGUUGGGAAGAGUAAUAGAGAGAAUACUGACAUUAGGAGGUCUAGGUGUAGGCUGGGAAGAGUAAUAGAGAGAAUACUGACAUUAGGAGGUCUAGGUGUAGGUUGGGAAGAUAGAGAGAAUACUGACAUUAGGAGGUCUAGGUGUAGGUUGGGAAGAUAGAGAGAAUACUGACAUUAGGAGGUCUAGGUGUAGGCUGGGAAGAGUAAUAGAGAGAAUACUGACAUUAGGAGGUCUAGGUGUAGGUUGGGAAGAGUAAUAGAGAGAAUACUGACAUUAGGAGGUCUAGGUGUAGGCUGGGAAGAGUAAUAGAGAGAAUACUGACAUUAGGAGGUCUAGGUGUAGGUUGGGAAGAGUAAUAGAGAGAAUACUGACAUUAGGAGGUCUAGGUGUAGGCUGGGAAGAGUAAUAGAGAGAAUACUGACAUUAGGAGGCCUAGGUGUAGGCUGGGAAGAGUAAUAGAGAGAAUACUGACAUUAGGAGGGCUAGGUGUAGGUUGGGAAGAGUAAUAGAGAGAAUACUGACAUUAGGAGGUCUAGGUGUAGGUUGGGAAGAGUAAUAGAGAGAAUACUGACAUUAGGAGGUCUAGGUGUAGGUUGGGAAGAUAGAGAGAAUACUGACAUUAGGAGGUCUAGGUGUAGGUUGGGAAGAGUAAUAGAGAGAAUACUGACAUUAGGAGGUCUAGGUGUAGGUUGGGAAGAUAGAGAGAAUACUGACAUUAGGAGGUCUAGGUGUAGGCUGGGAAGAGUAAUAGAGAGAAUACUGACAUUAGGAGGCCUAGGUGUAGGCUGGGAAGAGUAAUAGAGAGAAUACUGACAUUAGGAGGGCUAGGUGUAGGUUGGGAAGAGUAAUAGAGAGAAUACUGACAUUAGGAGGUCUAGGUGUAGGCUGGGAAGAGUAAUAGAGAGAAUACUGACAUUAGGAGGUCUAGGUGUAGGCUGGGAAGAGUAAUAGAGAGAAUACUGA